CAGAGGGGAACCCCCUAGCCUUCUGGUUCUGAACUGCUCUUCUUGGUGGGAUAAAUCAGAUAUUCAAAUAGUAAGUUUACAUUCUGAAAUGGCGCAAGGGAGCUAAACUUGUUAAAAACCUUCUAGAAAGUUUAAAAUUUUUGUCCAUUGUCCGUUUUGGUCUCCAUGUCUUAACUCCGAGGUUCUACAGUGAUGUAGUUCUGUAUGUUCCAGUUGGAUAAUGAACACAUAGCCUGUAUAGGUUUGUUUCUUCUUAAGAUAAGUCCAGUCCAUGAGUGCUACACGGUAUGUUUAUUGGCUGGGUAUUGGUGUUUAGAAGUCAGGUGUUGGAUAUUUGUUUUUAAAUAGCAGUGGGAUUUAUUAUGCACAAGAAAAAAUAAAUUUCAAUGAAGUCCAGGUCUCCCUACUGCACAUGCAAACCCACCUCGGUGUCCCCAGUUCCCAACUUGUGAUACUCCAUGUUCCCCUAACCUUCUCUCCACUUCAGACUCAACUUUUGAGGAAAAAAAUUAAAACAUACUAACAUACAUAUAGUACACAUUCAAGUUUCACAUACAUACACAUGUCCACUAAUAUACAAACACACAAAAGAGACUGUUUGCUACAGUGGUGAGCAUUAGAAAAUAUACAUAAUGGAGGUGUGCCUUAGUCAUGAGAUUAACUCUGCACCCAACAGAGGCUAAGUGGUUAUCACAAAAAAAAAAUAUCUAUAACACUGUUUUUGGUCAGAGUACACCCUGACUGACAUGGUACCCUCUCAAAAAAAUAAAAAAAAAUAAUCAAUAUUAAAAGGUAAAAAUGUCCAUGCUGAGGCCAAG